GACGAACCGUGCGAACGUUGUUCGGAAUCACUGGGCUUAAAGGGCGCGUAGGCGGGCCCCCUUGUCCGGGGUGAAAGCUUUCGGCUUAACCGGAAAAGUGCCCCGGAAACGGGGGGCCUGGAGGGAGGUAGGGGCAAGCGGAACUUCCGGUGGAGCGGUGAAAUGCGUUGAUAUCGGAAGGAACGCCGGCGGCGAAAGCGGCUUGCUGGACCCCAUCUGACGCUGAGGCGCGAAAGCCAGGGGAGCGAACGGG
rnacentral:rRNA from 1 species